rnacentral:rRNA from 1 species
AACGAACGCUGGCGGCAUGCCUAACACAUGCAAGUCGAACGAGACCUUCGGGUCUAGUGGCGCACGGGUGCGUAACGCGUGGGAACCUGCCCUUAGGUUCGGAAUAACUCACCGAAAGGGGUGCUAAUACCGGAUAAUGUCUUCGGACCAAAGAUUUAUCGCCUUUGGAUGGGCCCGCGUUGGAUUAGCUAGUUGGUAGGGUAAAAGCCUACCAAGGCGACGAUCCAUAGCUGGUCUGAGAGGAUGAUCAGCCACACUGGGACUGAGACACGGCCCAGACUCCUACGGGAGGCAGCGGUGGGGAAUAUUGGACGGUGGGCGAAAGCCUGAUCCAGCAAGGCCGCGUGAGUGAUGAAGGCCUUAGGGUUGUAAAGCUCUUUUACCCGGGAUGAUAAUGACGGUACCGGGAGAAUAAGCUCCGGCUAACUCCGUG